CGGUAACUAGACGAAGUAGCUAGAGAACUGCACCCGAGAAGGUGAAAGUCCUGUAGUCGAAAGUGGCACGAUACUAGCUGUAUCCCGAGUAGCAUGGGGCAGGUGAAAUCCCAUGUGAAUCCGCGAGAACCAUCUCGUAAGGCUAAAUACUCCUGUGUGACCGAUAGUGAACCAGUACCGCGAGGGAAAGGUGAAAAGAACCCCGAUAAGGGGAGUGAAAUAGAACAUGAAACCGUUAGCUUACAAGCAAUGGAAGGACGAUUCAACGUCUGACCGUGUGCCUGUUGAAGAAUGAGCCGGCGAGUUACAGGUCGUGGCAGGUUAAGACUUAACUGUCGAAAAGCCAAAGCGAAAGCGAGUCCUAAUAGGGCGAAUAUUGUCACGAUUUGUAGACCCGAACCCGGGUGAUCUAACCAUGUCCAGGAUGAAGCUUGGGUAAAACCAAGUGGAGGUCCGAACCGACCGAUGUUGAAAAAUCGGCGGAUGAGGUGUGGUUAGGGGUGAAAUGCCAAUCGAACCCGGAGCUAGCUGGUUCUCCCCGAAAUGUGUUGAGGGUCGACGCGGCCG
rnacentral:sRNA from 1 species